AGUAUUACGCCGGAUGAACGGAAAUCAUUGAUGUUGAUUAAUAUGGGAUGUAAGUCUCUAAUACUA
rnacentral:tRNA from 1 species